AGUGAACGCUGGCGGCAGGCCUAACACAUGCAAGUCGAACGGCAGCACAGUCGGGGCAACCCGAUGGGUGGCGAGUGGCGGACGGGUGAGGAAUACAUCGGAAUCUACCUUGUCGUGGGGGAUAACGGAGGGAAACUUACGCUAAUACCGCAUACGGCCUGAGGGAGAAAGCGGGGGAUCGCAAGACCUCGCGCGAUUGGAGUGGCCGAUGUCAGAUUAGCGAGUUGGUGGGGUAAAGGCCUACCAAGGCAACGAUCUGUAGCUGGUCUGAGAGGAUGAUCAGCCACACUGGGACUGAGACACGGCCCAGACUCCUACGGGAGGCAGCAGUGGGGAAUUUUGGACAAUGGGGGCAACCCUGAUCCAGCCAUUCCGCGUGAGUGAAGAAGGCCUUCGGGUUGUAAAGCUCUUUCGGCAGGAACGAAACGGUGAGCUCUAACAUAGCUUGCUAAUGACGGUACCUGAAGAAGAAGCACCGGCUAACUACGUGCCAGCAGCCGCCGUAAAAC
rnacentral:rRNA from 1 species